GGGGAUGAUCGGUUUCGACAUUGCCUGUGACCCUGCGAGAAGCGGGCCGAGGAUGCAGGGUUAUCUCGUUAACGCUCUCUGCAACCUAUAGGUGCCAAUUCCAAGCGCACCGACUUCGCCCUCGCUGCCUAAGCAGGGUUGAAAGUCCGUCAGACCGGGUUCGCCUUCGCCCCGGACCCUGGCGUCAGCUAGAAGGCUCGCUGCGGUGUCGUGUCUCAGGGCACCGCGGGACUUGCACUGAGACUGGGCCCGUCGAUCUAGGCGUUCGUGACAAAGAUCGGGGCCGAGCAGAACGUCUCCACGGACUACGCCCGUAGAAGGCGCAGCCUUGCAGCAGUGGACGGGGGUUCGAUUCCCCCCAUCUCCACCA
rnacentral:tmRNA from 1 species